rnacentral:rRNA from 1 species
AUUGAACGCUGGCGGCAGGCCUAACACAUGCAAGUCGAGCGGGGUUUACGAACCUAGCGGCGGACGGGUGAGUAAUGCGUAGGAAGCUACCCGAUAGAGGGGGAUACCAGUUGGAAACGACUGUUAAUACCGCAUAAUGUCUACGGACCAAAGUGUGGGACCUUCGGGCCACAUGCUAUCGGAUGCGCCUACGUGGGAUUAGCUAGUUGGUGAGGUAAUGGCUCACCAAGGCGACGAUCCCUAGCUGGUUUGAGAGGAUGAUCAGCCACACUGGAACUGAGACACGGUCCAGACGCCUACGGGAGGCAGCAGUGGGGAAUAUUGGACAAUUGGCGCAAGCCUGAUCCAGCCAUGCCGCGUGUGUGAAGAAGGCCUUCGGGUUGUAAAGCACUUUCAGUAGGGAGGAAGCGUUGUGUGUUAAUAGUACACAGCGUUGACGUUACCUACAGAAGAAGCACCGGCUAACUCUGUGCCAGCCGCCGCAGUAACAC